UUUACGGGUUUUCCCAGGUUACAGUAAUAGCUAUGAUUAGCUCACUGUAGUCGGGCGUCCGGGUAGUCUUUAAACAUGAAAAGUACUUGCUGGUCGACUCCUCUUACGAUGUGAAGUGGACAAGUACAUACCUGAUUAAAAACUCAUGCAAGUAACGGACUUUAAUCUCUCCAUACACAGAACUUGAUUUAACUAAUCAAGUGGUGGCACUAUGAGCAAUUCAAUAUGUGGACUACUGUCAGGGACACAGAAGCACAGUGUUCCGCUGAAGAAAGCCGACAUCCAGGUGUCCAUCCACGGAUUUAUCGCCAAUGUGAAGUCGGACCUCCAUUACGUGAACGACACUGACGAGAACAUGGAGACCGAGUUCGUGUUUCCACUGGAUACGGAUUCGGCGGUCUACAAGUUUGAGGCCGAGAUAGACAAGAGGACUAUAGUAGCAGAGAUUCAGGAAAAAUCUCAGGCUAAACAGACGUACCAGGAUGCCGUAGAUUCGGGUUAUACUGCUAUGUACAUGGGAGAAGAUGAUAAUGCUGGCGACAUCUUUCGGAUGCAGCUUGGGAAUCUUCCUGCCAAGACAGCAGCCAAGCUGACUUUUGCUUACACACGAGAACUGGACUUGAGUUCCGAUAAUACAGGAACGUUUAUGCUUCCAAUAGUUCUCAAUCCAAGAUAUGCACCCAAAUGCACAGAAGAAUCCAAGUCAGAGGACUCCUUGGAUACUACAAAGACACUUACAUCUCAAUCCGACAUCGGUAUGACGUAUUAUCCAGACUUCACAAUGAACGUGGAAAUUGUUGUUGCUGGGGGUAAAAAUCUGAUGGAGUCCGGAAAUAAGAUGGAAAUCGAUGUACUGGCCGAUAUAAUUGAGAAAAAGAUAACAUCAUCAAGAAAGCUUGAACAUGGUUCUGAUUUUUCAAUGGUAUUGCGUUACAAAGGGUUUGAAAAGCCAAAAGCAGUGAUUGAGGAAGGAAUUAAAGAUAGUGAAAAUGGGUUUAUGUCGUCGGAUGUACUGAUGGUCAACUUUUCCCCUGAAUUCAAGGAUCUGGAUACCGACAUGCCUUGUGAAUUUGUGUUUAUCGUCGACCGGUCUGGGUCAAUGAUGGGAACUCGGAUUGAGAAAGCGAAAGAAGCCUUAUUGUUGCUGUUAAAAAGUCUUCCUCUAAACUGCAAGUUCAACGUUGUGAGUUUUGGAUCAAGUUUUUCAACUUUGUUUCCAACGAGCGUGGUGUAUAACGAGGAGAACUUAGAGAAGGCUCUGAAUUUACAGAAAAGUAUGGAUGCAGAUAUGGGAGGAACGGAAAUAUUGGAACCACUUCAAAAUGUCUUCAAGCAUGAACCCUCAGGUUCCUAUGCAAGACAAGUUUUCUUGCUUACGGACGGAGGAGUUUGGAAUGUAACUGUAAUAGUUGAUUUAGUGAAAAAACAAAAGAACACACGAGUGUUUACAUUCGGGAUUGGGGACGGUUGUUCCACAGAAUUAAUCAGGGAGGUUGCCAAAGCCAGCAAAGGGAAGGCAACAUUUGUGAAAGAUACUGAUCGACUGCAAUCCAAGGUCAUGUCUGUGAUGAAGAACAGUGUGCAGUGUGGAAUAACAGACGCCACCUUGACAUGGAAGCUCCCUAAAGGUUGCUCUGUUAUCAAUGCUCCGGAAAAAGUCCCGCCGGUUUUUCAAGGAGAGGCACUCAUUUUAUAUGGAAUCAUAUCUGGUGAUGUUUCAAAGAAUUCUUUAGGCAAAGGUUCAAUGAAGUUGACCGGUAAUGCAGGCAGUAAAAGGGUAGAAUACAGCAUGGAAUUUGUAUUGAGUCGCAGUAAAACAAACAUCGCUGAGGAAACUUGUCCUCUUCAUAGGCUAGCUGCUAAAUCCAGACUCUCAGAGAUGGAAAUGAACGAUUCUCAAGAAGGUGCUAUGGUAGCACUAAGCACUGCGGCUAAUGUUACAUGCAAGCACUCGGCGUUUGUUGGAGUGGAUCAACGGACUCGAGAAACUCUACCACAGUAUCAUGUACCCAAACCUAUAAGAGUACAGACAAGGAGGCGUCGUACACGUGAUUCAGCACAUUGCUCACUUGUGCCACAAAGGAAGAAAAAAAUGGAUCGUGGUUCUGGAGGUUAUGGCUAUCAGCUGCUUUUUCCACUUUCAGCCAGAAGUAGUUGUGUUACCUAAGAAGAAAAAAAUGAGCACGCCUCGUGGUUCUCGUGGAGGUCUUGGUUUCAUACGAGGUUUUGGUGCAGAAUUCAUUGAAUUUGCAAUGCUUCGAUAAACGCACUUAAAAAACCUACGACAACCACCUUAGCUCUUACGAACGUAAACAACAUGGAAAAAUCAAGGCGGCAAUUUAAGGGCAGUUUGUGAAGUCUGUUACCGCAAAUAGAUAAAACGUCGCCAAAGUCCAGUGAAAAGGAUGGGAGAAAAGCAUUGUUCUUUUACAGCAUGAUUAUGCAAUUUCCUCCGAUAAAGACAACAACAGCAUCGUUCCACACCUGGCACUGACAGACGACGCGACAUGUCAAAUGACAAUAAUACUGUCGCACACGAAGAAAAUAUAAUGAUGACUAUCAAAAUUUUAGGAAGCAAUCAACAUUACUGAUGGAGAUGAAAGAAGGAGAAAAUUUCAAGUGUGAUAUUACAUUUGAUGAGAUUGAUAUGAUAAUGGUACAUGUACCAGAGCCAACUGUCAAACAGCACUCCAGCCAGCAACAUUUUCCUCUUGUAUUCUUUGACUUGGAAUCAAAAGGAUUAGCUAGAGAUUCUCAUAUUACACAGCUGCCGUGUGUGGUAAAGAAAAGUUUUCCACCUAUACCUUUCCAAAAAUACCUAUAACAGCAAAAGACUCAGAAAUAACAGAAAUCGAAAAUGUUAAUGGAAAUAUGUUUAGCAAAAAUGGAAAAUGUAGAAGUCAAUCCUUGGAAAAUGGAUGCUCCUCUUAAUUUUGUUUCAAAAUUUCAAACUAAAGUAAUUCUGCAUUUACAAUAGCAAUGUAUGAAUGUUAACAGAUAUGAAUGUUUAUUGUAUACUAUACUCAAUUUAACAUGUUCUGUUUAUGAGAGAGAGAGAAGAGAGAGAGAGAGAGAGAGAGAGAGAGAGAGAGAGAGAGAGAGAGAGAGAGAUUGUUGCAAGAAUUGGAAAGUAACUGCAAAAAUUAUAAAUUAUGUGCAAACUGCAUCAGUAAUGAUGUACACGGUGGUGAUAUUGUUCUGAAUUUUGAUACAAAUUAAUGUACCAAAUGAAAUUAUCCUAUUAAAUUUCCAUUUUCAUUUCAAAUGAAAAUGAUUGAAUUUCAA